rnacentral:rRNA from 1 species
GUCUUCUUGUUAUAUUUAGGAAGUCUGGCCUGCCCAGUGAAAAUAAUUUAACGGCCGCGGUAUACUGACCGUGCAAAGGUAGCAUAAUCAUUAGUCUUUUAAUAGAGGGCUGGUAUGAAGGGUUUAACGAGGUGUUGACUGUCUCAUUUAAUUUGAAUUUAGAAUUUAAUUUUUUAGUUAAAAAGCUAAAAUACUAUUGGAAGACGAGAAGACCCUAUAGAGCUUUAUACUUUUACUAUUAAUUUAUUGUAGGUUAUUAUUAUUUAUUAUUAGUAGAAAGUAUUUUGUUGGGGUGACAAAAAUAUAUGAAUAACUUUUUUAUUUUAUUUACAUUGAUAUAUGAAUAUUAGAUCCAAUCUUAUUGAUUGUUAGAUUAAGUUACCUUAGGGAUAACAGCGUAAUCCCUCUCCAGAGUUCAUAUUUACAGAGGGGCUUGCGACCUCGAUGUUGGAUUAAGAUAAUAAUUAGGUGCAGCCGCUUAAUUAAUAGGUCUGUUCGACCUUUAAAUUCUU